AUGAAAUUGGUCACGGGUGGCCAGACUAUGAUCUCAGUGAACGGGGAGAUUGGGAGUUUCUUCCGGAGCAGGCGGGGAUUGCAUCAGGGCGACCCCAUGUCACUGCUCUUGUUCAAUUUUGUGGUCGACGCCCUUGCGGCUUUGCUGCGAAAGGCGACCACGGCUGACCACUCGGGAGUGGUCGGCCACCUCAUCCCAGGGGGAUUUCACACCUUCAGUACGCAGACGACACCAUGCUACUGUUUCAGCUGGACGCUCACAAUAUUGCAACGGUAA
rnacentral:rRNA from 1 species